rnacentral:rRNA from 1 species
UUCGUAACACUGUUUCCGCNGGAGAACCUGCAGAAGGAUCAUUA